rnacentral:rRNA from 1 species
AGCUUGCUUAGAGAUAGUUUAGUGGCGGACGGGUGAGUAACGCGUGAGUAACCUGCCUUUCAGAGGGGGAUAACGUCUGGAAACGGACGCUAAUACCGCAUGACAUUUCGGAGUCACAUGGCUUUGAAAUCAAAGGAGCAAUCCGCUGAAAGAUGGACUCGCGUCCGAUUAGCUAGUUGGUGAGAUAAAAGCCCACCAAGGCGACGAUCGGUAGCCGGACUGAGAGGUUGAACGGCCACAUUGGGACUGAGACACGGCCCAGACUCCUACGGGAGGCAGCAGUGGGGGAUAUUGCACAAUGGAGGAAACUCUGAUGCAGCAACGCCGCGUGAGGGAAGAAGGUUUUCGGAUUGUAAACCUCUGUCCUUGGUGAAGAAAGAAAUGACGGUAGCCAAGGAGGAAGCUCCGGCUAACUACGUGCCAGCAGCCGCGGUAAUACGUAGGGAGCAAGCGUUGUCCGGAUUUACUGGGUGUAAAGGGUGCGUAGGCGGCUCUGCAAGUCAGGCGUGAAAACCAUGGGCUUAACCCAUGGACUGCGUUUGAAACUGUGGGGCUUGAGUGAAGUAGAGGUAGGCGGAAUUCCCGGUGUAGCGGUGAAAUGCGUAGAGAUCGGGAGGAACACCAGUGGCGAAGGCGGCUUACUGGGCUUUAACUGACGCUGAGGCACGAAAGCAUGGGUAGCAAACAGGAUUAGAUACCCUGGUAGUCCAUGCCGUAAACGAUGAUUACUAGGUGUGGGGGGUCUGACCCCUUCCGUGCCGGAGUUAACACAAUAAGUAAUCCACCUGGGGAGUACGGCCGCAAGGUUGAAACUCAAAGGAAUUGACGGGGGCCCGCACAAGCAGUGGAGUAUGUGGUUUAAUUCGAAGCAACGCGAAGAACCUUACCAGGUCUUGACAUCCAACUAACGAAGCAGAGAUGCAUCAGGUGCCCUUCGGGGAAAGUUGAGACAGGUGGUGCAUGGUUGUCGUCAGCUCGUGUCGUGAGAUGUUGGGUUAAGUCCCGCAACGAGCGCAACCCUUGUGAUUAGUUGCUACGCAAGAGCACUCUAAUCAGACUGCCGUUGACAAAACGGAGGAAGGUGGGGACGACGUCAAAUCAUCAUGCCCUUUAUGACCUGGGCUACACACGUACUACAAUGGCUGUUAACAGAGGGAAGCAAGACCGCGAGGUGGAGCAAAACCCUAAAAACAGUCUCAGUUCGGAUCGCAGGCUGCAACCCGCCUGCGUGAAGUUGGAAUUGCUAGUAAUCGCGGAUCAUCAUGCCGCGGUGAAUACGUUCCCGGGCCUUGUACACACCGCCCGUCACACCAUGGGAGCCGGUA